rnacentral:rRNA from 1 species
AGAGUUUGAUCCUGGCUCAGGACGAACGCUGGCGGCGUGCCUAACACAUGCAAGUCGAACGGGGAUAGAUUGAAGGUUUACCUGAUAUCUAUUCUAGUGGCGGACGGGUGAGUAACGCGUGAGCAACCUGCCCUUGAGUGGGGGACAACAUUGGGAAACCGAUGCUAAUACCGCAUAAAAUAUACUAAUGGCAUCAUUGGUAUAUCAAAGGAGCAAUCCGCUUAAGGAUGGACUCGCGUCUGAUUAGAUAGUUGGUGAGGUAACGGCUCACCAAGUCGACGAUCAGUAGCCGGACUGAGAGGUUGAUCGGCCACACUGGAACUGAGACACGGUCCAGACACCUACGGGUGGCAGCAGUAGGGAAUAUUGCGCAAUGGGCGAAAGCCUGACGCAGCCAUGCCGCGUGGAUGAUGAAGGCCUUCGGGUCGUAAAGUCCUUUUCUGAGGGAAGAACUAUUGGGGGAGGAAAUGCCUUCGGUUUGACGGUACCUCAGGAAUAAGCAACGGCUAACUCCGUGCCAGCAGCCGCGGUAAUACGGAGGUUGCAAGCGUUGUUCGGAAUGACUGGGCGUAAAGGGAGCGCAGGCGGCCAGGUCAGUCGGAAGUGAAAGCCCGGGGCUUAACCCCGGAAUUGCUUUGGAUACUGCCUGGCUUGAGUAUGCGAUAGGAAAGUGGAAUUCCAGGUGUAGCGGUGAAAUGCGUAGAUAUCUGGAGGAACACCGGUGGCGAAAGCGGCUUUCUGGCGCAUAACUGACGCUGAGGCUCGAAAGCGUGGGGAGCGAACGGGAUUAGAUACCCCGGUAGUCCACGCCGUAAACGUUGUGCACUGGGUGUGGGAGGUAUCGACCCCCCUCCGUCCCGAAGCUAACGCACUAAGUGCCACCGCCUGGGGAGUACGGUUGCAAGACUGAAACUCAAAGGAAUUGACGGGGGCCCGCACAAGCGGUGGAGCAUGUGGUUUAAUUCGAGGCAACGCGAAGAACCUUACCCAGGCUUGACAUCCCGAGACCGCCACGGAAACAUGGUUUCCCCUUCGGGGGCUCGGUGACAGGUGUUGCAUGCCUGUCGUCAGCUCGUGUCGUGAGAUGUUGGGUUAAGUCCCGCAACGAGCGCAACCCUCGUCCUUAGUUACCAGCGGUUCGGCCGGGCAUUCUAGGGAGACUGCCGGUGAUAAACCGGAGGAAGGUGGGGGGGACGUCAAGUCAUCACGGCCCCUAUGCCUGGGGCGACACACGUGCUACAAUGGCCGGUACAAAGAGAUGCAACGUCGCGAGGCAGAGCUAAUCUCAAAAAGCCGGUCUCAGUUCGGAUUGGAGUCUGCAACUCGACUCCACGAAGUCGGAAUCGCUAGUAAUCGCGUAUCAGCCACGACGCGGUGAAUACGUUCCCGGGCCUCGCACACACCGCCCGUCA